GCUGCCGUGGAGCAGGAUUUAGCAUGUCGGUCUAUGACGCCGAAUGCCUGGGUUCAAAUCCCGGCGUGAACA
rnacentral:tRNA from 1 species